ACCUGCAAAAUCAGCAAGGGGUCAAAUACUUUUUUCCCCCACUGUAUUUAAAUUAUUCUACCUUCAUUCACAUUGAUGUUUGAAACACUCAAGAAACUCCAAGAAAAUCUGAACAGGAUGGAUGUUUGUGUUGUGUGGCUGGGUUGAUGUUUUGUUUGGCAGGGUUACAACUCCAGGAAGGAGUUUAUUGCAGCUCAGGGUCCAUUGCCCACCACAGUCAACGAGUUCUGGAGGAUGAUCUGGGAGAAGAAUGUACACACCCUGGUCAUGCUGACACGCUGCAAUGAACAGGGACGAGAUCGAGGUGCGAAAUGGGAUCUCUGAGGAUCCAUCAGCAAGGAUACAUGAAAGCAGCCUUCACAGAAGUCUUUCACUGGCCGACAGAUCCCCUUUUUGAAAAUCAGUUAUUGAAUGGACGCUGCAGCUGAUUGGACUGACCUGAAGUAUCUGUCAUUUCCCACAUUAAUGUUAAUUUUGGAUACAAUUAAAGUGAGAGAGAGAAGAAGAGUAUGUAAAAUGUGAUCAGUACUGGGCAUCUGGGACCAAGCACUUUGACAACAUCAGUGAGAUAACAACUUCUGAAAAAACAUUUGAAUACUGGACCAUCAGGGACUUUAAUGUUAAAAAUGUGAAAACAGCAGAGACCUGUUCUGUGCGUCACUUCUACUUCACAGCCUGGCCAGAUCACGAGGAUCACAGGGUCCCAGAAACCACGGAGCCCCUCAUCAACUUAAGACAUUUGGUCAGAGAGCACAUGGACCAAUACUCCAGACACUCUCCCACUGUGGUCCACUGCUGUGCUGGAGUUGGACGAACAGGUAUCUUCAUAGCCAUUGACUGUUUGAUUUUCCAGAUUGAAGGAAAAAUAUUGUGGACGUGUAUGGCAUUGUCCAUUGGCCCCUUAUGGUGCCGAUAGAGGACCAGUAUGUGUUCUUAAACCAGUGUUCCAUGGACAUCAUCAGAUCAAGAACUGGAACCAAUGAGGAUCUAAUAGACCGAAACAAGGCUGCACUAUCUGUAUAGGUCUUCUAUUUCUCUCUUUAUUUAUAUUUAUAUUUUGGGAUAUAAUUAUUUGUUAAAUGUUAAAUAUUUGAUAAUGGAGGUUACAGUGGACAUAAUCACUGACCAAAAAUAUUUGGAUUAUAUGUAACCUUUGGUCAAAUCUAAAAUUGGAUUCUCUCUUAUUAUUGCAGUUUUGAUUUUCUGCUUUUUUUGUUGCGGUGACAGCCCGGCUGUUGGUGAGUAUCCUGUUUCUCCUUUCCCUCGCAUUCUGUUUUUUUCCUGUGCCUUCUCUUUCUCUCUGUGUGUGUGCUCUCUCCCUCUCUGCUCCGGAGCCCGGCUGGCUACCCACACCUGCACCUCGUUAACCUCCAUCCCCGGCCGCCGCACCUGCCAGCCAUCAGCCUCAUCAUGACCAGUAUUUCUACCCCGGCUUUCCACUCCAUCCUCACUUGAUGGUCGCAGCUCCUGACUUGGUGUUACUGCUUUGUUCUGGCUCUUUUGAAAUUUUCCUUUGUUUCACCUGCUAACCCUGUCUGUUUCCUCCUGCCAGGUUCACUCACAUCUGCCUCCCAGCCUCCUCCUCUCCACGACGCCCUCCGGCUUACCCCCCUUGCACUUCCAACUUUUGGAAUUGCCUUGUAGAACAGAAAAUGCUGGUAUGAAUGCUGUGCCUUGUUAAAAAACUUUUAUGCUUUAUCACCAAUAGGUGGCAUUCCUUCAUUUUCGUUUUAAACUGAAAGGACAAACAGGAAAAUGUUUUACCUUAUAUUAGGACCCUAUUGGGAAGAUUACGUUUCUGAAUAUAUCAUAUUUUAUUGAAGCUUGUCAUAUUGUCUAGACAAUUCUAUUUGUAGCUCUUUAGCCAGUUUGAACUGUGUAUUCCCUUUUAAUGAAGGUGUCCUGUUGUUUUUGAUAGAGAUUAAUUUUAUCAUUAUGGUGAUUACACUUUGGCCAGUGCUUUGUGAAACAUUUAGCUAUUCAGCCCACAUUUGAUUCAUACAGUUUUACUUUGAUUGAUUAAGAGAUGAGAAGGAUCACAUUAAACAAAAGCCCU